UACGUAGGGACCAAGCGUUGUCCGGAAUCAUUGGGCGUAAAGAGCGUGUAGGCGGCUUGUUAAGUCUUGCGUGAAAUCUCGGGGCUCAACCCCGAGCGGUCGUGAGAAACUGGCAGGCUAGAGUGCGAGAGAGGAGAGUGGAAUUCCUGGUGUAGCGGUGAAAUGCGCAGAUAUCAGGAAGAACACCCGUGGCGAAGGCGGCUCUCUGGAACGCAACUGACGCUGAGACGCGAAAGCGUGGGGAGCAAACAGG
rnacentral:rRNA from 1 species